CUGGAUUGUUUCAGGUGCUAGAUGUUCAUGGUGGACAAUGUAAUGAAGCAUUACAAAGACUUCAGCUCUGCACUCUGUGCUAUGGUAUUUUCCCUGGAAAAAAAUUUCCCUGCAAGGCUAUAUACUAGGAAAGUGCUAUGACAGAAAUGAGCUGGAAGAGCUUAUAAGCGCUCGUCUGGAACAGCAUUUGGUUCAGCUUGGCAGAAUCCACAAGUCUGAACUUGGCUAUGUAAUGAGGUUUCUGAAGCCAGUCAUACAUUUCCUCAGGACAGAGGACAACUACCCACCAGAAGAGCUCAAGGUAAAGUGUAGUGGACUCCGCUUUCAGAGCCAAAGAUCUGUCUUUGAAACAGAAGAGAUGUCUACAGACCGUGUCACCAUAGAGGCUACUUCAUUCACUCCUCCCUGGUACUCAAGAGGAUUGUUACAGACUGAUAGAAAUACAGUCUUUUAAGAACAUGAGUUUUCAUCAAGAACAAACAGAACUGAAGCAACUAGAAAUUUGAAGCACAAUUUUCAGAAAUGUGAAGACCUUCAGCCUGGCUGAAGACAGUGGGGGCUGUGGGUGAAAAUAGAAUCUGUAUUUGAAAGAAACAAGCAAGAAGGGAAAAUUGUAACAUCAUUACACCAAUAAGCCCCACACAGAUCCUAAUUCAUCCUUACAAUACCAAAUGGAAGGAGGGGGAUCUCUUCUCUAAGCUUGCCCCUGCUUCAAGCUGAUCUUUUCAUUACUUUUCUCCUUCUCUAUUUGCAAGUGAAUGAUUCACAUAAACCUCUAUCAGUUUUCUGACAGAACCCUCUCUAAGGGGGAUGGUAAGCCUGAUGCUUUCUCUGUUCACCUGCUGUAUCUUCCCAGCUAGCCUUUCAAAACACAGAUUUGCAUUUUGGUUUCUCUCAGCUCCAUGCUGUUUCCAAGAUUUAAGUGAAUACAAACUGAACUGCAGAGUAGGUAUCAGAACAGUCAGUGCUUAUCUAAAAGGAGCAUGCCUUGUUCAGGAAAAAGGCCUGAAAAGUCAUUCUUAACUUUUUCUUGAAUUGAGUUGCCUGAGAAUGGGUUUGGGGUUUUUGCAAUCAACUGUUAAAUCAUGCUUCAUAACUUUUUACUGAAUUCUUUCUAGCUUUCAUGCCCUUCCUGAGGUGUGAAUACCAACCACAGAUACCAUGCUGUAAGAAAAAAUUGUCACUACUAUGAAGAGACAAAAUGGCUUUCCCGUGCAAUUUUCUGCUAUUCUUUGUCCCUUAGGAAUGCAUCAUCAAUGUUUGCUGAAAUUAUGAUCUGAUGGUGGCUCUUUUGAAAACUGCUAGGUGAGAAGGCGUUUUAGCAAUAUCUGCUAUGAAAAAAUAUGAUGAAUGCAGAGAGAAACUUUAUCAGCGAGAGGCCAGAAGGCAGGGAUUUCAGGUCCUUCAGAGAGAGAUUUAGAGUAUAUCAGACUCUAUCAGAUUAAUUGCAUGUGAAGUUCAUGGAUUUUCCACUUUCCAUAUCCUUAGCUUUUUCAUUUUUUCUUUUCUCCUACAUUCUUAAGAGGGGAAAGUGGGCUGUGUUUCAUUGUUAGGGUCUACAACUCUCCACAGUGAUGAGAGAUGUUUUAUUCCCAUCUGUCUCCAUCACUGGGUCCUACAGGAGUGAUGUUAUGUCUGUGGGCUCAAUCAAGCAUAUGAAGAGAUUUCCUCAACAAAAUACUUGCUAUCUUAAGUACAAUGAGCAUGCAGAAGACGAGGAGAAAUAACUGAAGAAAUAAAUUCCUGUCUUCACAAGGAGAUCUUUUAGUUUACUUUGCUUCUCAGAUGUCUGGGAAGGGGAAGAGGAAUGUGCUUCCCUUAAAAGGCAUUCAGUAACCUGAAGACAGACAGAAGCAGUUCAUGAUUUUACUCUGGAAAUACACAGCAUCCCAGGGAGAUGUCUUUCUCUUCAAUGUUUCAGAGAACAAGAUCACUAGAAAGAUACCUGUUUUGAAAUUACAAUAACUGUCUCUCAUGCCUCAGACAAUUAAAGGUUCUCCAUUGCUUUCAGAAACCUGAAAAUGUGCUUGAGGUCUGAUGUUAAUAUGCAGCCUCUGUACUGCACAGAUGAGGUUAUUGAGAAGCUGCAUUCUACCACAGUGUUCAGUUCCUCUGGGCUCUUUACUGGUGCUAACUGGUUUGCAAGGUGCUAUGAUCUUGGUGUGUUAUUUUUUCUGUUGUUGUUACUGAGCUGCAUUGCAGGAUUUUCAUUUAUCUUGAUGGCUCUGCUAUAACAUGUAUAUACUUCCUUAUUAAAAUGUUCUGAACAAAAA